AGUGAACGCUGGCGGCGGGCCUAACACAUGCAAGUCGAACGGCAGCACAGUAAGAGCUUGCUCUUACGGGUGGCGAGUGGCGGACGGGUGAGGCAUACAUCGGAAUCUACUUUUUCGUGGGGGAUAACGUAGGGAAACUUACGCUAAUACCGCAUAUGAUCUACGGGUGAAUGCAGGGGAUCUUCGCACCUUGCGCGACUGAAUGAGCCGAUGUCGGAUUAGCUAGUUGGCGGGGUAAAGGCCCACCAAGGCGACGAUCCGUAGCUGGUCUGAGAGGAUGAUCGGCCACACUGGAACUGAGACACGGUCCAGACUCCUACGGGAGGCAGCAGUGGGGAAUAUUGGGCAAUGGGCGCAAGCCUGAUCCAGCCAUGCCGCGUGAGUGAAGAAGGCCUUCGGGUUGUAAAGCCCUUUUAUUGGGAAAGAAAAGCUGCGGGAUAAUACCCCGCUGUUCUGACGGUACCCAAAGAAUAAGCACCGGCUAACUACGUG
rnacentral:rRNA from 1 species